rnacentral:rRNA from 1 species
UACGUAGGGGGCAAGCGUUGUCCGGAUUUAUUGGGCGUAAAGAGCGUGUAGGCGGCCAGGUAGGUCCGUUGUGAAAACUGGAGGCUUAACCUCCAGCUGUCGAUGGAAACCAUCUGGCUAGAGUCCGGAAGAGGAGAGUGGAAUUCCUGGUGUAGCGGUGAAAUGCGCAGAUAUCUGGAGGAACACCGGUGGCGAAGGCGGCAUCCUGGACCAACACUGACGCUGAGUGAGCGAAAGCCAGGGGAGCAAAGCGGG